GAAAAAAGGGUAUAAACUAGUUGGUGAUAUGAAGGCUCACCAAGGCAACGAUACAUAGCCGACCUGAGAGGGUGAUCGGGCACACGGGACUGAAGCACGCCCCAGACUCCUACGGGAGGCAGCAGUAGGGAAUCUUCGGCAAUAAGAGGAACCCUGACCAAGCAACAGCGCGUGAGUGAAGAAGGUUUUCGGAUCGUAAAGCUCCGUUGUUAAGGAAGCACGUGUAUGAGAGUCGAAAGUUCACACAGUGACGGUACUUAACCAGAAAGGGACGGCUAACUACGUGCCAGCAGCCGCGGUAAUAAGUAGGUCCCGAGCGUUGUCCGGAUUUAUUGGGAGUAAAGCGAGCGCAGGCGGUUAGAUAAGUCUGAAGUGAAAGGCAGUGGCUCAACCAUUGUAGGCUUCGGAAACUGUUUAACUUGAGUGCAGAAGGGGAGAGUGGAAUUCCAUGUGUAGCGGUGAAAUGCGUAGAUAUACGGAGGAACACCGGUGGAGAAAGCGGCUCUCUGGUCUGUAACUGACGCUGAGGCUCGAAAGCGUGGGGAGCGAACAGG
rnacentral:rRNA from 1 species